AGCGAACGCUGGCGGCGUACCUAACACAUGCAAGUCGAACGGGGAUCGCGGCGUGAGCAAUCAUGGCGCGGUCCUAGUGGCGCACGGGUGAGUAACACGUGGGUAACCUGCCCUGGAGACCGGGAUACCCUCCCGAAAGGGAGGCUAAUACCGGAUACGUUCCCCGGGUCGCGAGACUCGGGGAGGAAAGGUGGCGCAAGCUGCCGCUCUUGGAGGGGCUCGCGGCCUAUCAGCUAGUUGGUGGGGUAACGGCCCACCAAGGCGAUGACGGGUAGCU
rnacentral:rRNA from 1 species